rnacentral:rRNA from 1 species
AAACUUUCAACAACGGAUCUCUUGGUUCUGGCAUCGAUGAAGAACGCAGCGAAAUGCGAUAAGUAAUGUGAAUUGCAGAAUUCAGUGAAUCAUCGAAUCUUUGAACGCACAUUGGUGCGCCAGCCUUCUGGCGGGCAUGCCUGUUCGAGCGUCAUUU